GAUGAACGCUGACAGAAUGCUUAACACAUGCAAGUCAACCGGAAGUUGGGUUUUUAACUUCGGUUUGGGUGGCGGACGGGUGAGUAACGCGUAAAGAACUUGCCUCACAGCUAGGGACAACAGUUGGAAACGAAUGCUAAUACCUAAUAUUAUGUUAAUAGUGCAUCCUAUAAUUAUGAAAGCUAUAAGCGCUGUGAGAGAGCUUUGCGUCCCAUUAGCUAGUUGGAGAGGUAACGGCUCACCAAGGUGAUGAUGGGUAGCCGGCCUGAGAGGGUGAUCGGCCACAAGGGGACUGAGGCACGGCCCUUACUCCUACGGGAGGCAGAAGUGGGGAAUGUUGGACAAUGGACCAAGAGUCUGAUCCAGAGAUUCUGUGUGCACGAUGACGUUUUUCGGAAUGUAAAGUGCUUUCAGUUGGGAAGAAAGAAAUGACGGUACCCACAGAAAAAGUGACGGCUAAAUACGUG
rnacentral:rRNA from 1 species